ACUGGCGAAAGACCUUAUGAAUGCCAUGAGUAUGGCAAAAGGUUCACUGAAAAGAAAAAACUCUACAGACACACUCGUGUACAUACUGAUGAAAACACUCCUGAAUGCCAUGACUGGCGAAAGGUUCAAUCAGGAGGAGGCCAGCACAACACGGCCUCCACGUCCAGCCCAGCCGCGUCUCCACCCAGUCUCUUCCACCUCCUAGAGCCCCUGCAGCCCACUUCUACCAGUCUCCUCCAGCCCAGCCCACUUCUACCAGUCUCCUCCAGCCCAGACCACAUGUACCAGUCUCCUCCAGCCCAGCCCACAUGUACCAGUCUCCUCCAGCCCAGCCCACUCCUACCAGUCUCCUCCAGCCCAGCCCACUUCUACCAGUCUCCUCCAGCCCAGCCCACUUCUACCAGUCUCCUCCAGCCCAACCCACUUCUACCAGUCUCCUCCAGCCCAGCACACAUGUACCAGUCUCCUCCAGCCCAGCCCACUUCUACCAUUCUCCUCCAGCCCAGCCCACUUCUACCAUUCUCCUCCAGCCCAGCCCACUUCUACCAGUCUCCUCCAGCCCAGCCCACAUCUACCAGUCUCCUCCAGCCCAGCCCACAUCUACCAGUCUCCUCCAGCCCAGCCCACAUCUACCAGUCUCCUCCAGCCCAGCCCACAUCUACCAGUCUCCUCCAGCCCAGCCCACUUCUAUCAGUCUCCUCCAGCCCCGUGACGCCCCCCCAACCGGGCAGCGACUACGAAGACUUUACAAACCCUGAAUUGGCAGCCUGGCCACAACAUGUCCUUGCGACAAGACCUCGUCCCCUCUGACUGGAAAAUGGAUUGCGUAACACCGAUUUUUAAGAAUUAUUGGUCCAUUAGUCUGACUUCACUAGUAGAAGAUGCAGCUGUAGCCGGACUGUUGCCUGCACCCCGAGAGCCCUGACACUCCCUGUCCACCUCUGCGGGGGUCGUUUAUAGCCCAUACAAGCACAGCGCGGGAAAACAAUUGGUCCGUUCGCAGCCUGGCGUCUUAAUCCCUAUCACCGCUACAUUUUUGAUUUCCCCUUCACUUCUCUGGCCAGAGGAGCGACUUAGCGCUUGUCAACGCUAAUUUGCAAAGAGAAUUUGACGUCUGAGAAUGUUGAGGAGAGUUAUUAAAUUAUUAGGAAGGAGGAACAGGAGGAGGAGGAGGGGAAGGUAAUGAAACUAGGAGGAAGAGGAAGGAGUAGUGAAAUGAUGGUUAGGUAUGGACAGUUAUGUA